rfam:Triticum aestivum genome assembly, contig: Triticum_aestivum_CS42_TGACv1_scaffold_602850_7DL
GAUAUACUCCCUCCGUCCGGAAAUACUUUUCAUCAAAAUGAAUAAUAGAGGAUGUAUCUAGAUGUAUUUUAGUUUUAGAUACAUAUUUUUUUAUCCAUUUUAAUGAUAAGUAUUUUCGGACGGAGGGAGUAUAUA